rnacentral:rRNA from 1 species
AUUGAACGCUGGCGGCAUGCCUUACACAUGCAAGUCGAACGGUAACGGGCCUUCGGGUGCCGACGAGUGGCGAACGGGUGAGUAAUACAUCGGAACGUGCCCGAUCGUGGGGGAUAACGAGGCUAAAGCUUUGCUAAUACCGCACACGAUCUACGGAUGAAAGCAGGGGACCGCAAGGCCUUGCGCGGACGGAGCGGCCGAUGGCAGAUUAGGUAGUUGGUGGGAUAAAAGCUUACCAAGCCGACGAUCUGUAGCUGGUCUGAGAGGAUGAUCAGCCACACUGGGACUGAGACACGGCCCAGACUCCUACGGGAGGCAGCAGUGGGGAAUUUUGGACAAAGGGCGCAAGCCUGAUCCAGCCAUGCCGCGUGCAGGAUGAAGGCCUUCGGGUUGUAAACUGCUUUUGUACGGAACGAAAAGCCUUCUUUUAAUACAGGAGGGUCAUGACGGUACCGUAAGAAUAAGCACCGGCUAACUACGUG